CCAAAGGCUCUUUUAAGAGCCACUAAAGUAUCAAGUAAAGGGCUG
rfam:Camelus ferus unplaced genomic scaffold scaffold914, whole genome shotgun sequence.